rnacentral:lncRNA from 1 species
GUCUUCCGUCCUCCGACUCUUCAUCACCUUUUAGUUGUCAGCUGCUGUCCGCUGUCUCUGUUGACUAUAUCCUUCAGUAUCUGUCAAUGUUCACUCUGCUACAUCACAAAAGCUCUCUCUCAGGUAGUCACGGCGUAUCGAAUUUAUACUGAUGGAUAAGCUCAGAAAGAAUCCCACCAAAAUAUAAGAUAGUCGCUGGAGCCUAUUCCACGCGAUGUCGUGAUUAGUUAGGUUUUGUUGAUCACGUGGGUAGUACUCUAGCGAAUCGCGACAUCGGGUGAUUGCUGAAUAUUCCCGCUAAAGACCCAUUGUGUGCGCGCACGCGCGUAUGUGUUGGUCUACUUGUUUUCAAAGAAACGCGAGAUAGAUUCUUUAAGCCAUGUCAACCUAGCGGGUAGACUAAGAAUGAAAUGGUUAGAUAAAAUACAUAAUCUCAGUUGGUUACGCUUAGGAGUCAAGCUGCAAAGUCUUAUGAUGGUUCCUUCUGAUAGGACCUUAUGGAGGAGAUGCCUGAGGAUGCGACCCCUACAGUCCGACCACAGGAAUGGUGAGCAGAGAAGAUGGAUGGCUACAUACAUACAUACAUACAUACAUACAAUGUUAUCCUCAAGAAAGAUUUUCCUGACAUCAUAUACAUCAAAGGCAUAUCAGAAGCAGUAAGUAUUCACACCUUUAAAAAUAAGGAAUACUGAUGGCACACUCUAAUAAAAACAGCUGUUCGUGGGAAACAUAACAGACCUGAUAUUGUUCUGUAGGACAGGGAACAAAAGUUAGGAACUGUUGAAGAGGUUAGCUGCCCAGCGCAUGUGAAUGUACAGUUCAAAUUUCAAGGAAAAGAAAAUAUUUAUGGUGAAUUAAUGCAAAACUUGCAGCUCUUGUGCCCUGACUAUGAAUUCUCAUUUGUUCCUGCCAUCAUAGGUGCAUUUGGUUGUGUACCAAUAAAUUGGCACAAAAUCCUAGAAAUACUCGGUUUCAAGAGCAAAAGAAACUGACGCGGAUUCACGAGAUCCAAUAUAUUAGUGGCACAGUGAAGAUUUGUAAGACAUUCCAAAGAUUCUCCAUCUGAGGUUCUUUAUGUGAAUAGAUGCAUAAACUUGGGUGUGUGGAUCGAUAGAUCAACCAACGCAAAAACUCAGCCACAUAUUUAGAAUCGCCGGUAACGUUUUUAACUCAAAGAGUCUUGCCACAUUGCUACCGACCGACACACAAAUACAUACAUACAUGCAUACACACACAGGUGACAAAAAUACAUACUUACACACAUACACUCAAAUACGUACAUACACAUACACACAAAUACAUACAUACAUACAUACAUACAUACAUGCAUACAUACAUACAUAAUACAUACCUACAUGCAUACAUACAUACAUACAUGCAUACAUACAUACAUAAUACAUACCUACAUGCAUACACGUAUACAUACAUACAUACGUACAUACAUACAUACAUACAUACAUACAUACAUACAUACAUACAUACAUACAUACAGUGAACUCUGCUCUGUUUCGUUGAUCUCUCUUCGGUUAUCUAUUUGACCCUUUCUCAUGAAAACAUCGGAAACAGACGAUGAAAAUUAAACUAGACAGCACAACAGGUAAAGCUCUGAGCUUUGUCGUGUGAACUGGGCCACACUAACUCACUCACCUGAAUGAACAUACAGAGGAAUUAUAUAAUGUUAAUCCAGCACAACUAAGUUUAAAACUAGCCAAGGCAACUGAAAUGCAAGCGCGAUCAAUGGAUGUAGCAGAAUAUUUUUAUAUUUAUUUUGGAGAGAGUGAAGAUGGUGGGAUGGAAGAGUUGGUAGAGUGACAAAUAGUAUGUCUUGCAGAGUUUGGUAAAAUGACGAAGUCAGUAGAGUAGAGGUCAAAAUAUAAUAUACCCUGCAGUGAAUGUACGAAUUUAUUGCAAAUUCCACCAGCAUUAACAUUACCUCUCAUCGUUUUGGAAUCAAUAGAAAUAUAAUCGAUCUCUUCGACUAUUCUACCGCCUGCUUCACCUCUCCUUGUAUUUGUGUUCUGUGCUACUGUUAGAAACCAUUAUUAAGGCAGUGGUGUUGUGGAUUUACUUGUGCCAAACAAAAUGUUUUGGGAUGUGAUUAUAUACAAGUUCUAAUCCCGGUGAUAUUGCUUUAGCAUUUUUUCUUGAAGGCAUUAUUAUUCAAGCUAAAGGAGAGACGUCUACGAUGUAAUGGAAAUAGCAGCCAAAUCUCCCUCAAACUACACUCUACCAUCUUAGAAACGUGUUCGACGGAAUAAAUAAUGCACACCUAUAUACACUUUUAUUAAAGUAAAAAAAAAAAGUAAAGUAGGACCCGAGGAGAAUAAAGAUAGUCUAUUUCGUCCAAUAGUAAGUAAAAGAGAGCUCAACAUAGAAUACAAUAUUUUGCUGUAAGGAAGAAGGGAAGCCUAAUGUAUCGGUAGAUCCCUGCGGGAGAAACUUUAUUAAAAUUAUUUCUGUUGCAUAUAUAUAUAUAUAUAUAUAUAUAUGUAUGCAUUAUGUAUAUGUAUGUAUGUAUGCAUAAAUAUAUAUCUGUGUGUGUGUGUGCUUGUGUGUGUGUGUUUGGCCCUCACCACGGAUAACAACCGGUGUUGGUGCACUUACGUCCACAUAAAUUAGCGAUUCGGCAAAAGGGAAUGAUAAAACAAGUAACGGGUUUUAAAAAUUCUGUGGUUGAUUCGGUCUACUAUAAUUCUUCAAGGCAGUACCCCAGUAUGGCUGCCGUCUAAUAACUGGAACAAUCAAAAGAUCAAAAAUAAACGAUAUAAUUAUUAAUUCAUAAAAAAAGUUCAGUAAAAUUGCUGUGAAAAUUAUAUUAAUGAAAACCUGAGAGUUUUAGUAUUUCUCCACGGUUGUUAAUCGUCAGUCCCAAUUAUGAGUGGAGAGAAGAGUUUGUGUGUUUUACAACGAAUGUCUUCUCUGGCAUGUUUAAUUAUAUUUCGUGCAAGAAGGCAAUAUCCACUCGGAGUCUCAGUAGUGUUGGUCAGAAAGAAUAGACGAAAGGAAUGAUUUCAUCAUUGAUACACGGUGCAAAGGCGCUCAAAGAGUUACUAAUACACUAUCAGCUUUUUAUGUUUUACAUGUGUGUGUGUUUGUAUGUGUGUGUGCGUGCGUGUGCAUGUAUGCAGGCAUGCAUGUCUAUGCACAUACAUAUAUGUAUAUGUAUAUACAGAUGCAUUGAUAUAUACCUGGACUUAUGAUUCUGUAUGCAUGUAUAUGUUUAUGCGUGUUUAUAUAUAUGUAUAUGUAUACACACACACACACACACACACACACACACACACACACACACAUAUAUAUAUAUAUAUAUAUAUAUAUAUAUACUCUUUACUCUUUUACUUGUUUCAGUCAUUUAACUGCGGCCAUGCUGGAGCAGAACCUUUAGUCGAGCAUAUCGACCCCACGACUUAUUUUUUGUACGCCUAGUACUUAUUCUAUCGGCCUUUUUCGCCGAACCACUAAGUUACGGGGACGUAAACACACCAACAUCGGUUGUCAAGUGAUGUUGGGGGGGGGGACAAACACAGACACACAAACGUAUACACACCCCUAUAUAUAUACAUAUAUACAUGUGCAUAUGCACAUAUGCAUAUAUAUGCAUGUAAAUGCAUAUACACUCAAUAUAUAUGUGCAGUACGUACAUAUAUAUAUAUAUAUAUAUAUAUAUAUAUAUAUAUAUAUAUAUAUAUAUAUACAUACAUUUAUAUAUAUACCCAUUUAUAUAACGGACUCUACCGUCGAAAACGACGCAUAGGUGUUCAGCGAGAAUAUAGAAAAACGAAUACCAGAUAGACAAUGAACAACACACUCACAUUACUAUUACUACUAUUCACCAAUGUUUGCAAUUCAUUCCCUUCACCUGGUGACUCCUCAUGUCAGUCCUCAGGUCACCAAAAGCAAUAUGAAUAUGAGCAUGAGCACGUGAUCAAGCUGAGAAAUCACAAUGUGUACAAUAGUGGCUUGCAGGAAAACUUGUUCUGCUCGUUUUCUUUUUCUAUUUUUCUGUAACUGUUCUUCAUGAAAAACCCUUUGAGUUUUGAAAUUUUGAAGUUGGAAAAAGCACACUCUCCUCUAGCCUGUACGGUUUCUCGCAAGAUUCUGAAAGUUUCUUUCAAGCAUUACAAAUUAUCUUACACACACGCGCGCGCGCGCGCGCACACACACACACACACACACACACACACACACAGAUAAUAGCUUAUAUACAUAGAGAAAUUGAGGCUUAACUAGUCCCUUAGAAGUUAAGUCAAUUUCAUCCCUCACUAACCCCUCUUUAUAUAUAUGUGUGUGCGGGUGUGUUUGAUAAGUGCCAACGUACGAAACUCUCGGACCUUGAGUCACUCUCUUACUUCUACAUAUUAAUAAAAAUGUACAUAUACAAUAAUACCUCGUAGUACGAGUUUAAUUCGUUCCAUGACCGAGCUCGCUUUACGAUUUAUUCGCUUUUCAAAUCAAUUUUCCCCAUUGAAAUUAACUAAAAUAUAAUUAAUCCAUUCCAGCCCCACAAAGCCACCCUAAAAUAAUUUUUAUGGGUUUUAAAGCAAAAAAGGUGUAGUUACAAGUAAAAUGACAGUUAUAAAAAAAGAGAAUACAGAAAAAAUAUGUAAACUGACUUGAUUAACUUAAUUAUCUUAAAGAUUGGACGAUUUGUGCGUGGGGAUGACGAUAGACCAGGUAGGAGGGGGAUUACUGUUUGGAAGGAGAAUCUCCUUCCAUUAAGACUUCAGGAAGGACAAUUUCUGGCGUGUUUUCUCUCACUUCGCUUAAUUUAGGCUCUUUGGACACGCUUUCUUUACUUUUUACACUUGCAGGUCGUUUCAUAAGAAAUAUAUAAAGAGAAGUCUGCUUUUUCCUGCCUUUCAAAAUGUUACGAAAAUGCGCCAGUGCAGUGUAAUUAAAUAAAGCAGCUGCACGACCUGUAGAUACUUUUACAGGAUGAUAUUUCUCUACAAAUUCAGAAACAUAUUGCCAUUUUGCCAACACUGCCUUUAUGUCAGUCGUAGAGAUAGCAUGCUCUGCAACACUGUCCUCCGCUACACUGCCAGGCUAUAUCAAUGAUUUUACAAUGUUGUAGUUUACAAUAUUGUUGCAGUUUACAAUUUUGUAGUGCUCCUUUCAAAACUCACGAAGUGUUAGAUUUGUAUAUUCGGCGACUUCAAAACACCGACGAAACAGGUGUUUGAUGUACAACUUAUUAAAAUUAGAAAUUACCUGUUGCUCCAUGAGCUGCAAGAUAAGGAUGGUGUUUGUUGCGUGAAAGGUACAUAACUAUUAUAAAGUUAAAUUCGUUCAGGAUAUCAUUUUCGAGGUUAAGAGGGUGGGCAGGUUCACAGUCGAGGAUGAUGAGAGCCUUGACGGGAAGAUUGUUCUCCAGAAGAUACUUUUUCACUGCUGGUCUAAAGACAAGAUUGACUCACUCGGAGAAGAAUUGUCUGGUGACCCAAGCUUUAACGUUUGCCCUCCAUAUGACCUGCAGCUUCUCCUUCAGGAUUUUGUGAGACUUGAACGCUCAUGGGUUUUCGGAAUGGUAGACAAGGAGCGGCUUAGUCUUCAAGUCUCCACUUGCAUUGGCACAAAGGGCGAGAGGUAGCCUAUCUUCUCCUCUGCGGUUAUGUUGGUUCUUCUGGGCAUUUUUUCCAAAAAAAGGCCAUUUUUCUCACAGUUGAAUACUUGUGCGAUGUACCCCCCGGCUGCAAUGAGCUGACGGAAUUCACGCACGAAAUCUUCAGCUGCCUUCGUAUCAGAGCUCGCUGCUUCUCCAUACCUGACGGCGCUAUGAACACCAGUUCUCUUCUUGAAAUUAUCAAACCAGCCGCGACUGGCCUUAAAUGCAUCCGCUGAUGUUUCCUCUGUCGCUGUUCCAGGGUGUUGCUUCAGGAUAUCCCCAUACAGCGCUCGUGCUUUCUCGCAGAUGAUGGUCUCCGUAAUCGUAUUCUCUGCAAGUUACUUCUAGUUGAUCCACAGGAGAAGCAAUUUUCCGAUCCUUUCGUGGACAGAUGUGCGUUGCUUAGAGAGCCUGGAGAUACCCUUUGCUGUUGUAAUGGCCUUGAUCUCAUCCAUUCUCUUCAGGAUUGUGCAGAUCGACGAAGUGCUUCGGUCGUAUUGAGGUGUGAUGUCCACUACACGCAUUCCUCUCUCAUUUUUAUCAAUGAUUUCUUUCUACAAUUCUAUCGUAAUCAGUUUUUUCUUCUUUUCAGCACUGUCUUUUGCACUAAUAUUCUAAGGAGCCAUGGCUAGCACAACUAAUUAUAAAAUAAGAGCAAAAUAUAUACAAAAAUAAACAAAAUUAUUUGGGUAAAACAUAACAGGGAUGCUGCCACAACGCGAUAAACACGUGAACUGAGCGAGCGGAGGCUGCGCUUGUUGGAAGAGCGUGUGUGAGUUCAGCGUCGACUAGCGGUCGUUUGCAUGAAACUCGGUCGUACUGCGAAUUUCCGUUCGUGCUUCAAGACAAAAUGUGCACGAGUCUCGGCUUGUACAGCAAACUACUCGUACAAUGGUGCACUCGUACUGCGAGGUUCUACUGUACUCAUAUUUUGCGUAGUAUUUUUCCUUUCUGUAUCAACAUCCCUAUAUAUACAUAUAAAUAUAUAAAAUUGUUAUUAAAUCGUGGUUUUGGCCGUGUUGGCUGCUAUUUCUACCUAUUAAAGGGUAGUUUUCUUUUGUGUUUAAAUGUACACUAUUUUAAAAUAUGAAUAUGUUGUCUACUGACUAUUUAUACAUGCUAGACCACAUGUGGUGAUAUUUAUAACGAAUAUUCGCUACCCUACAUAUGUAUCUUAUGAAUAUGUUCUUAGCAUUCUCGAAGAUUCGGCUCGGCAUUGUAUUUAUUGCCGACUGUAAAUGUGCCUGCGCGCGAAGUUUUGAAAAAUUAUAACAUAUAAUGACGGGGCACGUGUUCUUGUCUCUGAAUUAUAAGUAAUUUAUUGAGGCCGGUUACUGAUGAGAAUUCGCCUGGCGAUAAUAUUGUUUUGCUAAAUUACCUACUAAAGGAUGGCAAAUAAUCUUAUCUUCUAAAGAAAUUCGAGACCAUGUUGAUACAGAUGUUGAUAACCGCUAAUAAAAAUAACAAGGUAAAAGUUUUUAGUUUUCAAUUCCUUCGAAAAUUGCUAUUAAAUCGUGGUUUUGGCCGUGUUGGCUGCUAUUUCUAGCAUGCAAAAAUUACCUAUUAAAGGGUAGUUUUCUUUUGUGUUUAAAUGUACACUAUUUUAAAAUAUGAAUAUCUAUAUAUAUAUAUACAUACAUACAUAUAUAUAUAUACAUAUAUAUACAUACAUAUAUAUAUAUAUAUACAAUAUAUAUAUAUAUAUAUAUAUAUAUAUAUAUAUAUAUAUAUAUAGGAUAAAUGUAAAAAAACACAAACUGGGACAAGAACGCAAAACAUUUAGAAGACGAUACAAAAAAAACGGACGGGACAUUCGAAGCCUUCGAUCUUCAGUCAAAAACCGGAUCAUCUUCGCAAUUUCGGCUGAUUAAUUUUGAGAUUGCUCCGACUUGGCCAGCCCCAAAGGAAAAUCUAAGCCAAGCGCCUUAGAUUCCUUGGAAGAAAGCCUCGAAUGUAUACAAAACAAGGACGGGAACGGAUAAGAAUACAAAAAUACGUAAAAAAUAAUAAUGAUAAUUAUAGGCGUAGGAGUGGCUGCGUGGUAAGUAGUUUGCUUACCAGCCACAUGGUUCCGGGUUCAGUCCCACUGCGUGGCACCUUGGGCAAGUGUCUUCUACUAUAGCCUCGGGCCGACCAAAGCCUUGAGUGGAUUUGGUGGACGGAAACUGAAAGAAGCCCGUCGUAUAUAUGUAUAUAUAUAUAUGUGUGCGUGUGUGUUUUUGUGUCUGUGUUUGUCCCCCUUGCAUUGCUUGACAACCGAUGCUGGUGUGUUUAUGUCCCCGUCACUUAGCGGUUCGGCAAAAGAGACCGAUAGAAUAAGUACUGGGCUUACAAAGAAUAAGUUCCGGGGUCGAGUUGCUCGACUAAAGGCGGUGCUCCAGCAUGGCCGCAGUCAAAUGACUGAAACAAGUAAAAGAAAAAAUAAAAGAAAUAACACGAAUAAGAAUACGAAAAUACGUAAAAACAAUAAUGAUAAUAAUAAUAACAAAAACAGGACGUUACAGACAGGUGUCUUUUCGACUGGACGGGUGAACUUGAGCUGGCGCAUUGAAAAAUUCCCUAAAGGCGAAGAGAGAAAUAAAAUGUAUCUGGCCUAUACGGCUGUUGAUCACGAAAAGGCAGAACAGCAGACCAAAAGUUAGUCACGUGUGAGCGGGACAGAGGAAGAGAGAAAAAAGGGAACAAGGAACAAAGGAGGAGGAGGGGAGAGAGAGAGAAAGAGACGGGUCAAAGUGGAGUGCAAAGUGUGAAAGGCAGAGAAAUGUAGGAGAGGGGGAGAGAGAGAGACAGUGUUGUAGAAUCGUACCAUGUAUUAGAGAAAAAAUGUAUUUCACAUACAUAUAUAUAUAUAUACUAGCAGCAUAGCCCGGCGUUGCCCGGGUAUGUAAGAAACUUUGUCGAUAAGCAAUGCCCUUUACCUUUUUACCCUUUUUUGUACUCAUUGAACCGUUAUUUUGUAAAAUGAAGCCUAAAAGGCAUUAAGGCAUUCAAGGCACCGUUCCCUUGCAUGCAUGAAGAAAAUCUAUGACAGUCAAAGUGCAUUUUCUGGUUUUGUUUAGCACACCCAACCCAGUUCUGCGGAAUCAGUGUCACGACGGGAACGCAUGGGUUGGGAGUUUGACAGGCAGAGGUGAUAAGGUUGCACAUGCUGGCCCUUUUGACACCGCCCCACCGAACCCAAGUUGGGUUCGGACCACAGCUAAGCCCUAUCUAAUCCUAACCUAAAUCUAGCGAAAGGGGGCUGGGGGCUCGGGAGCCUCUAGUAGGCAACGGCUAAUCCCGAUCUAGUCUUUUCCCUCUAGGGAACGAAGGCGCAUGUGUAGGUUGCAACGUCUUCUCUUCACUCCAAUACUUCUGUGUAUACGACGUUCCUAGCUGAAGUGGCAAAAAUCGACUAAAUCGCCUGAAAUCCGCGAACUAUUUAACAAAAGUCAGUUUUGUAGGGUUCGCAUGGUCGGUCUCAAAGUGAUAUGGUUUUGUCGAUUUCUCCCAAUACUUGUUAACUGCAUUGACAAAAGGUCGUUAGUUUGACAUUUAAUGCAAACUUGAUGUCCAACAUUGGUGUAGGGAAAAUCUAUGUGAACUUUCAAAAAUUAUCACAGAAAAUUCGGUUUGCUAUGUGUGCCACAUAUGAUGUAAUUAACCGAUUUUUUCCAGUAAUGACGUAUCCUAUUGGAAUCAAAAGGACCAUAUAGCUUCUUGGAGCAGACAUGAUACUAGCUGUGAAUUUCAAAAAAAUUCCUGCCAAUUUGUUAAAGAUAUUGUCGAAAAUAUGUAAUCUUGAAUUUGAAUGCGAUUUCCCAAAAUGGCAUGAUUUUAUCGAUUUUUUCUGAUGGUAAGGUAUUGCAUGGAAAACUAACGUCAGAAUUAAGUUCCUUAGGGUAACAUUAAACUUCAACAUGAGUCUGGUGAAAAUCGAUUGCAAGUUGCGAAAACUACAACGGAAAAUGUGUUGCAUAUGAUAAGCUUAGAUUCUCGACCCCAUGUCGAAUUUAUUGAUUUUUUUCAGAACUGGGGGAACUUUUCAAAAUUUUCGCUGGGUUAGUUUUGAAUUAUGACAUUGGGCUAUGUGUGUGUCAAGUUUCAUCAGAAUCGGUUGAAAGCCGUGGUCAGGGUCAGGGUACAACCUGACAGACACACAGACAGACAAACUGCCUUUUAUAUAUAUAAAGAUAUAUAUACAUACAUACAUACAUACAUACACAUACAUACAUACAUACAUACAUACAUACAUACAUACAUACAUACAUACAUAUAUAUAUAUAUAUAUAUAUAUAUAUAUAUAUAUACAUACAUAAAGCAAAUGCACCCGUCCUUUGGGCGGUUUAAAUUGCUUUGGUAUUUUUUAAACCAAAUAAUUGAACUACCGAGAAGGUUUAUGAGUAACACGGCAAUCUAUGCUUUCGAUUAACCUAGGAAUGGAAAAUCGAAUUGAAGGCUGGUUAUUGUGGAAGUCGUUGCACUUUAAUGUUCAUGGAACAUAUAAGUUUGCAAGCGAUGUAAAGUAUAGCUACUGAAGUGUUUUGGGAGUAGAUUACAGAUAAUGUCUACAAACUAUAGUUGUUUUACAUGAAAGCGAAAUUUAUUGUCAGAAGCAGCCAUAUAAAUGGUGUAAGGAAAUUGAAGGAAGACGUUGAAACUUCCCCUCUGCGAGUUUAUUUUUCUCAACAGCAAAGGGAGUAAUUUCUUCGGAGAGAUAAGCAAACAAAAUCCCCCUUUAUUCUGUCUUCCCACAUAGCCUGCGCUUAAACUAACAGUGAAUGCGGCAUAAAGUUAAAUUGGCGUGAAGCUUUCUGAAAAUACGUAUAGCUUUUGCUAGUAGAAACAAGACUGUUAUCUAAUGAUUGAUUCUUUGGUCUACGAAUCAUAAGUGAUUGUUUAAAAAAAGCUAAAUCGACAAUGCUAAAAUGUAUUUGAAACAAUGGACAACAGUCAAAAUAUAAUGGAUGGGUAAAUAAACAUCCUUAAAGUGACACAACGCAUUGGUAGGUAAAUAAGGGUAUCAACAGAUAGAAGACAGGGAAGGGAACAUCACCUCUCAUGUAAUUUAGGAUAGGUAAAGGUAAGCUUGUCAAAGUUUGAUGCAGUUUGAAUAUGGAGAUUAAGAUUUUUUGGUAUUGGAUAACCCUCGCGUACAGUGUUCCUAGUCAAUUUAAUCAUGGUGGCAGGUGGACUGUCGAAAUAAAUAAAUAGACAAAAUCCUUUCACUUUUAUAUAAAGAUUAAAAAAGUAUGUAAGAUCCUACACACAAAAAAAACUAUGUCCAUUUAGGUCCAUUUACGCAGGAACUCUGGGCAAAAUGUUUAGUGCAUGACCAUCCUUGAGACAUAAGUAAUGUGUGUGUAAAGUUUGGUGAAAAUCGGGUGAGAAUUGUGGAAAUGUAUGCGUUAGUCAUUAUACACACACAUACUGUGAUUUAUCUAUACUAGAUAAUAUAUAUAUAUAUAUAUAUAUAUAUAUAUAUAUAUAUAUAUGUCUGUAUGUAUAUAUAUAUAUAUAUAUAUAUAUAUAUAUAUAUAUAUAUAUAUAUAUAUAUAUAUGUCUGUAUGUAUGUAUAUAUAUAUAUAUAUAUCUGUAUGUAUAUAUAUAUAUAUAUAUAUAUAUAUAUAUAUAUGCAUGUAUGUAUAUAUCUGUAUGUAUGUAUAUAUAUAUAUAUAUAUGUAUGUAUGUAAAUAUAUGUAUGUAUGUAUAUAUAUAUGAAUGUAUGUAAAUAUAUGUAUGUAUAUAUAUGUGUUUGUAUAUAUGUAUGUGUAUCUUUAUAUAUAUAAAACUGAGGAUGUGUGUCUGUCUGUCUGUCUGUAUGUAUGUUUCCCUUAAACUUGAGAACUACACAACCAAUUUCAUUCAAAUUUUACGCAUGCCUUACUUAGGGUCCAUGUAGUUUCAUGGGUAAAAAAAAAUGUUCAACUUCUUACCUAGAGCAAGCCCAUAGCAAUAUCAUAUCUUCUCCACUAUUACGUGUUAAAAGUGAAACAAAAAUAUUUCUCUAUUUUAUGUCAGAUGCUUUCACUUUAACAAUAAAAAUAAUAAUAACAAUUGAAUUAUAUGUUGUAAGUAAUAAUUAAAAUCAAACUAAAGUAUAAUAUAAUCGUAACAUAACAAAAGUAAAAAUAGCAAUUGGUAUAAAAUUGCAUCAAUGAUUUGAACUUGAAUAAGUGGUUUCACAUGAAUGGGAAUAAAUUAAAAAUAAAAUUAGCCUGCAGAAAUGGAAUAGUCCAGAUGGAUAAUAAAAAAUUAGAUUAAAGAAAAGACUAUUGUCUAUAAAGUAUGCAAUGUAGAGAAAAAAGAUUUGAACACAUGGAGGAAAGCACCUUCGAAAAGUGUCUUGGUGCGACUAUGAAAGAUAUCUAAUCAGAGGCGGUAAAUUUGCCACAAUAGAAACAAGGUUCGAGUCAACGGAGCAUGCAAGGGAGUACUCGACUCGAAUUUGCAAAGUGGAAAUAUUUUACCUUUACCUUUAUAUCUGGGACGUAGGACGUCCCGGAAAAAAAUUUAAAAUGCCCCCCCCCCCCCCGAAGUAGAGAUAGGCUGGAUUGUAACCACACUUCUAUACAAGAGGGAGGACAAGAUACAAUUGAUCGAAAUUACAAGAGACGGGCUAACAAUUCCAGUCUGUUAUAUAUUUUGAGUAUUGUUAUCACUAGCGAUAUCAAGAUAUAACUUUGUAUUUUGCAUUUUAUGUGUAGAUGUAUAUAUAUAUAGAUCUACAUGUAAUAUGUACACAUAUAUAUACACAUAUAUACAUGCACUAGCACUAUGACCCGGCAACGACGGGUCUUUAAUGCUAGUAUAUAUAUAUGCAUGCAUGUGUAUGUAUGUGUAUAUAUAUUGGUAAUAUAUAUAUAUAUUUGAUUUGAUCUAGUUUCAGCUCAUGAGCUGUGGCCAUGCUGGGGCACUGCCAUUUGGUGUUGCUACAUAAUUUUGCUUCACUAAUUCUUUUUAGAAAUCGACAUUUGGUGCAUGAGGGAGUUUGAUGCCGCUGUCCUCAUCUGCACUUCCUGCUGUGAAGUUGGUUCAUCUGGGACACUUGACAGUAGGUCUCUCAGGUUCUUCGGGAGGAUAUUGAGCUGUCGGCCUUUAAAGCCCAGGUUGUCGCAAUAUCUUGUCUUAUACCUUAAUGGUAAAGUUGAAGUCUUUGGCACUAUGCAGUGGCCCCCUAUUCUAGCAUUAGUAUAACUCUCGAUGCCGACGUUUAGGACAAGUCCAUCUAGGAUCUUCCAGAUGGCAUAUCUUAUGGCCUAUUUUAUGGCAUAUCUUUCCCGCCUACGCUCUAGGGAACAGAGUCUCAAUCUCUUGAGUCUUUCCCAGUAGCUUAUUUGCUGCAUAGAGGCUAUCUUCUUCGUUGGAUUGCCUCAAGUUCUGCAAUUAAUUUUACACUGGUUGGUGACCAUAGCUGGAAGCAAUAGUCAAAACAGCUUAGGACAACUGCCCUCCAGCGGACCAUCAUGGUUUCCUGAUUUCUCGUUCUAAAAGUUCUAAGAAUCCAUCCGGUCAGCCCCUCUAUUUCAUUGCCAAGUUAGCAAUAUGCACAUGGAAGGAUGCAUCAUUACUCAUGUAAAUGCCCAGGCCUCGCAUUGACUUUGUUUCUGGGAUUGCAAUCCCUUUAGGUCCAGUGUAUUUAACUGGUAUUGCAUUUAGCACAAGGCUUGAAACUUUUCAGCAUUAAAUUGCAUGCUAUUCUUCUCAGCCCAUUUGUAUAUUUCAUCCAACUCACGUUGCAGGUGCAUAGCGUCUUAAAGGUUCUGUAUCACCUGUAAGACUUUUGUAUCAUCUGCAUAAUUAGUGAUGGUGACUCUCUGUGUGGCUGAGGGCAUAUCUGAGAGGGUCAUUAUGAACAGUAGUGGUCCCAAGACAGUGCCUUGUGGAACACGGCUCACUAUUUGUGUGUCACUGGAGGUGGCCCCAUUGGCUACUCCCACCUGACUCCUAUCCUUCAAAAAGUCAUGCAGCCAUUCUCCUAAUUUUCCGACUAUGCCGAGAUCACGCAGUUUGUGACAUAUUCCAUGAUCGACUUUAUCGAAGGCCUUUGCAAAGUAGAAAUAUAUCACAUCCACAUUUGAGUGGUUGAGCAGCUGUUUCAACAACCAGUCAUAGCGUUGUAAGAGCUGAAUCAAGCAGCUUCUUCCUGGUUGGAAACCAUGUUGGGUGUCAGUCAGCAAGUCAUUUUCUUCAAGGAAGAUGGUUAGUUUUCUUCUGACUAUUCAUUCCAUGACUUUGCUGAUGUGCGAAGUCAGAGAGAUAGUCUGUAGUUUUUGGCCUCUGCUCUGCUACCGCCUUUAUGAAUACGGCAUAUUUUACCUUCCUCCAGCUUGCUUGGAAGUUUGUCUGUUGCAAAGAAGCUCUGGAAGAGGGAAUGCAGUGGUCUUGCUAGAACUCGCUUACAUGAUUUUCAUCUAUAGCCCUUAUUAUAUCGUCUUAUUUUAUAUUGAUGUAAUUAAUCAUCACUGCCUCUGUUUUUAUAUCUGCAGUGGUAAAAAAAAGUCAGUUGGAUUGCUGACUUGCAAGUGUCCUAGGGUGGACUGAAAAUACUUCUGAAUUACUCAUUUAGUAUUUUACUUAUCCUCCUCUUUGGGGUUUCCUGUGAGUGAACCAUCUUUUUCGAGGAGUGGCCCUACCCUGCAGUGCACUGAGGCUGUUUCUUUGACAAACUUGUAGAAGGCUCUGGGGUUAGAUUUUAUGUUGUCUUUAGCUUAGGCUUCUUUGUCUGCUCUUUCUUAUUCAUGGGUGAGUUGCAGAUUGUUUUUCAAUCUCCAGCAGUUGUAUUUUCAGGCUGGAUUUCUCAGUGCUUUCAGUUUGUGUUUAGGCGAUUUGAAAUCUUUGUAUGCCGUCUCAUAAAAGUUUUCCUCUACCUCGGGAUUUUGUUCUUGAGUACAGUGGCCGUUCUCUCCGGGACACAUUUGUAGCAUAUGUCUUGCAUUACAGACAUGAAUUGUUGAAGUUUCAUGUCGAUGUCCGGUGAGGAGAGAAGAUAUGUAUAUAUAUAAAUAUGUGUAUGUGUAUGUGUGAGCGUGUGUUUAUUUAUAUAUGUAUGUCUAUAUAUAUAUAUAUGUGUGUGUGUGUGUGUGUGUGUGUGUGUGUGCAUGAAUGUCUAUAUAUAUGUAUGUAUAUAUAUAUAUAUAUAUAUAUAUAUAUAUAUAUAUAUAUAUGUAUGUAUGUAUGUAUGUAUAUGUAUGUAUGUAUGUGAAUAUAUAUAUAUGUAUGUGUAUAUAUGUAUAUGUAGACAUAUGUAUGCAUGUAUAUAUAUAUAUAUAUAUAUAUAUAUAUAUAUAUAUAUAUAUAUAUAUAUACUAAGUCAUCUCAUAAAUAAUGCCAUAUUUUUAUACUUCUUUUAUUUUUCAUAAUUAAGAUAAACAAUUUUUUUUUAAAUGUAAAAUAUACUCUCCUUAAUUUUCUACAAUGUUCUUCCAUCUGUCUGGAAGACUCGCAAGGCUCCUCUUCCAAAAUUCUCUUGUCCGCGACGAAAAUUUUCCUCCCACAUUGUUCUGACCUCGUCUACAGAAUUCAUAUUUUACCCGUCCAUAUGAUUUUGAAGACUGCGGAAUAAAUGACCAUCAGAUGGGGCAAUGUUUGGCGAAUAUGGUGGAUGGUGCAUCAUUCGUUUGCACAUUCAAAUUGCUCUAGCCUUUGGAAUGUCAUCCUCGGUAUAUGUGGUCGAGUAUUAUCCUGAUGGAAGAACACCUUUCGUCUUGAAACCAAAGAUGGUCGUUUUUCUUCCAGCACUGACUUAAGCCGCCCAAGCUGCUCUCGGUAGAUCUCCUUUGUUAUCGUUUGGUUUGGAUUUAAAAGUUCAAAGUGGACUAAACCUUUCACAUCCCACGAAACAGAACAACACCUUACGCAGUUGAAGAUCUUUAGCCUGGGGUGCCGGUGUUUCUCUUUUCCCUACCUACCGUCUUCGGCGCUUGAUAUUUUUAUAGAGAACCCAUUUCUCGUCACCAGUCACUAUUCAAUCCAAAAACGGGUCAUUCGUGAGACGUGACUGCAAAGAUCACACAUUCACUCUCUGCGAACGAUUAGAGUCGGAAAGUUUGGCCCGAAUUGCUGACUUUUCCGAUGGCACGCAGGUAUUGAUGAAUGGUUUCUCUGCUAGUUCCUCAACAGUUACGACAGGAUUUUGUUCCACUAGGUUUUGCAGUACGUCCUCGUCGAACUCUACAGAUCUUCCAGGACGAGGCUCGACUUCUAGGUUGUAGUUCCCGGCUCGGAAUUUCUGGAACCACUGUUGACACGGCUUACAUUUAUUGUCCGGUCUCCAUAUACUGCAUUAUUAUUCCUCGCACUUUCUGUUGCGUUGUUGCCUUUAUUGAACUCAUAAAGCGAAAUAUACUAAAUAUAGUCCCUAGUCACUUCCAGAUAGCUUUGUAAAAUAACUGUUACAAUCGAACUGCACUCUUCAAAACUUGUACUAAGAAUAGGUUCAAAGUAAAAUUACUACUUAUUUUUAUAGCAAGUUGAUGCAGGUAGUUUAUCUCAUUCCCCUCCAACUUUUUGUUCAUGCAAUUGAAAAAACUGCAUUAUUUAUGGGAUGACCCAAUAUUUAUAUAUGUGUGUGUGUGUGUGUCAGUGUAUGUAUGUAUGUGUAUAUGUAUAUAUAUAUACACAUAUGUAUGCAUGGAUAUGUGCGUGCGCGCGCACGCGUGUGUGAUUCAAAGAGAGUUAAAGGUUGUGCAUCCAAUAUACUGCUUGUAGAAUACCUAGUUAAUACACAAGUGUUGGUUAUUGCGUGGCAAUUUCACGACUGAGUAUAAUAAUUAGGCGAGGGUAAUAAGUGGUUUUACCCGAAAUUUAUAUGGCAAGAAGAAAAUGGAGGGAAUCCAGAGGUAAUAUUCAUCAGAUGUUAGACAUUAUAUUAUGUCUAUUUAUUUAUUUUAAACAGUUCAGAUACUAUAUAAAUACAUGUGUAAGGUAUUAGUAAUUUCUAGAAUAGAGAGAGAAGAGCAGUUUCUUACAAGAGGUCACUGUAUCCCACAUGUUAUUUCCAUCUUUUCAGUGUACUAUAGUAAUCUGUAGAUAAUUGGGGUACUUGGGUAUGCCUCUAGGCUUCGUCAGAGAGUUUUGUAAGAUAGUCCAAGAAGUUCAUAGGGCUAAUUUAUGCGCGCGCACACACACAUGCAUAUAUAUAUAUAUAUAUAUAUAUAUAUAUACAUACACACAUUCACAUAUAUACAUACAUAUACAUACACACAUGUGUGCAUAUCUGCAUAUGCAUAUGUAUAUAUAUAUAUAUAUAUAUAUAUAUAUAUAUAUAUAUAUAUAUAUAUAUAUAUAUAUAAGAUAAGAAAAUGGAGAAAUACAUCUAAAUCAAAUAUCAAUUAUCAGAUAAUACUCAAUCACAUACUUUAUUAAACCACCACAUAAGAGACUGUAGGGUUAAACAUAAAAAAGCAGAACAAAUCAGUGUACACAAAGGAAUGUACAUAAAAAAGUGUACAUAAAAGAGUAAUAUUGUAUAAUAAGUAGAAUAUAUAUAAAAAAGAGAAUAUAAAUAUAAGUAAAUAUAAAUAUAAGUAUAGAUGACAUCUUACAGCUGUUUCGGCCAUGUAGAUAAGUAUGUCUCAUUUUACCAAUAUUAGCCUUUUAUGGUAGGUCAAUAUAUGGAUAUAAAUGAGACAUUUAGAAAAGUAUCAUAAGGCCUCUUCGGAGAUAUACAUAUACAUAUGAGUGCAUAUACUCACACUCCUAUGCAUAUAAAAAUAUACAUAUACAUAAUAAUGUAAAUAAAUAAUAUAAAUUAGUAAACAUAUAUAUGUUCCACAUUCAAUGUUUCAGUUUUUCAACUUAAUAUUGUGAUAAUAAACAUACACAUAUUAGUACCUAGAUGCAAAUAUACAUAGUCAAUAGUACAUUAUAUUACUUCCUACUAAUUUCCAAAGAGUCAUAAAAGUUAGCAUCAUUAUCGUUGUCAAUACCAUUAAUGCUACCAUCAUUAUCAUUCAUAAUAUUGUUAAUAUCGCUUACGUUAGGAUCAAAAGUGGCACAUAUGUAUGUCCGGGUUCCAUUUAGUAAUUUUCCUUAUGACAUAAAUACACUAUUGGAUUUGAAUUUAAAUUAUCAUUGUCUUCCUCAUGGUUGGUCCGUUGAGAGCCGUCCCCACACCGCACAAGAAAAACAUAUACAUCCACAUCCAACCCUAAACCCACACGUCUACAUAAAGACCCACACACACAUGCACACACACAUGAGUAAACCCCGACACAUCGCUACACAUUCACUAGAUUGCAGAGUGCAUGUCUGUCAUCGCAUGGCUUAUAGACAAAUCAGUACAGGCCGCAGUGUCUAUACACUAACACUAACUUAUAAUUAAUUUAAUUUAAUUCAUAAUUAAUGAACUUAUAUCUAAGUUAAUAGUAAAUUCUGUUUACUUUUUGUGUAUGUAUAUAUACGUCUUUGGAUGGGCAGACAUAUAUUUUUAAUUUAUGAUUUAGUGGAUGUGGGUUGAGGUGUCGAGGUGUGUGAAAAUGUGUAUGUGUACGUAUGUAUGUUUUUGUACGUAUAGGUAUGUUCGUGGGUGUAUGUACGGAUGUAUGUUUUUGUUAUACAUAUGAGUACGCAGGUGCGUAUUUGGAUAUGUAUAUAUGUAUAUGCAAAUAUUUAUUCAUGGGUGGAUAUAAGUAUAGGUUUUAUUUGUACGUAUGAGUGCGCUGACAUAUAUUUAAAUAUGUAUAUAUGUGUGUAGAAAUGUUCCCUGAUACAGUAUAUGAGAUUGUAUUAAUAUCUAUGAGUAUAUGCGGAUGUGCGUGUGAGUGUGUGUGUUUUAGUGUAUAGACACUGCGGCCUGUACUGAUUUGUCUAUAAGCCAUGCGAUGACAGACAUGCACUCUGCAAUCUAGUGAAUGUGUAGCGAUGUAUCGGGGUUUACUCAUGUGUGUGUGGGUCUUUAUGUGGACGUGUGGGUUUAGGGUUGGAUGUGGAUGUGUAUGUUUUUCUUGUGCGGUGUGGGGACGGCUCUCAACGGACCAACCAUGAGGAAGACAAUGAUAAUUUAAAUUCAAAUCCAAUAGUGUAUUUAUGUCAUAAGGAAAAUUACUAAAUGGAACCCGGACAUACAUAUGUGCCACUUUUGAUCCUAACGUAAGCGAUAUUAACAAUAUUAUGAAUAAUAAUGAUGGUAGCAUUAAUGGUAUUGACAACGAUAAUGAUGCUAACUUUUAUGACACUUUGGAAAUUAGUAGGAAGUAAUAUAAUGUACUAUUGACUAUGUAUAUUUGCAUCUAGGUACUAAUAUGUGUAUGUUUAUUAUCACAAUAUUAAGUUGAAAAACUGAAACAUUGAAUGUGGAACAUAUAUAUGUUUACUAAUUUAUAUUAUUUAUUUACAUUAUUAUGUAUAUGUAUAUUUUUAUAUGUAUAGGAGUGUGAGUAUAUGCACUCAUAUGUAUAUGUAUAUCUCCGAAGAGGCCUUAUGAUACUUUUCUAAAUGUCUCAUUUAUAUCCAUAUAUUGACCUAUCAUAAAAGGCUAAUAUUGGUAAAAUGAGACAUACUUAUCUACAUGGCCGAAACAGCUGUAAGAUGUCAUCUAUACUUAUAUUUAUAUUUACUUAUAUUUAUAUUCUCUUUUUUAUAUAUAUUCUACUUAUUAUACAAUAUUACUCUUUUAUGUACACUUUUUUAUGUACAUUCCUUUGUGUACACUGAUUUGUUCUGCUUUUUUAUGUUUAACCCUACAGUCUCUUAUGUGGUGGUUUAAUAAAGUAUGUGAUUGAGUAUUAUCUGGUAAUUGAUAUUUGAUUUAGAUGUAUUUCUCCAUUUUCUUAUCUUGUAUUAGUAAUUUGUGGUAAAUCAUUUUACCUUUGCCCAUAUAAUACAGUAAAUGAAUUGAUUGCAUUUGCAAUCCUUAACAUUAACUUUGUUGGGUACUUCACUAGCAGUAUAUUGGAUAUAGGUUAUCCCAUGGAGGGUUGCAUUUACAACCCCUAUCUCAAUUUGUAUAUAUAUAUAUGUGUGUGUGUGUGUGUGUGUGUGUGUGUGUGUGUGUGUGUUUUAAAAAAGCCCACUCCAGUUUUGUAAAUGUUCUGGGAUUUUGCAACUGACCUCUAAAAUUUGUAGACAUGCUGAACUGAGGACCAUACACGACACACAAACGUCUUGUAACACAUCAGGAGGAAACAUUAGUUCAGACAUAUUUCAUUAAUCUGUUUUAUUUUAUUUUACUUUUAUUUUUUUGCUUGUUGUGUUAAUGAUUCUGAUAUAAAAAUGAUGUACUCAUUAAGCCAUUGGCAAUUGUGAGAACGUAGCAUCCCACGCAAAUACAUUGUUUUCUUCCAAUAUUAUUUCUGAUGUAUGGUGUCUGUGUUCCGUUAGCAAUCGAGGAAUUAUAAUGAUUUUCCUUCAGUAUUUAUUAAAUAUUCCUUGAAUCUCUUUGCAUCAUCUAUUACGUUCGUUCAGUUUUACUCCUUUAUUGUUUCAGCCAUCCAGCUACGGCUUAUGCUUGGACACCGCCAUUAAUGAUUGUGAAAAUGAAGUAUUUGCACUAAUAGCCAUUCUCACAUAUAAGAAUUCCGUUAUAAACAAGAAAUUCCAGGAGCUUUUCAACAGCAGUUACAGUAUGUAUUUUCACUUCAAAAACCUUCAGUCUUCUAUACUAUAUUCCAGCGACUGGGUUCCCUAUUUUUUAAAGUAUAAUUAAUGUUCCAAGAUGUAUUUAUUGACGCCUGUAAUUUCGACUAAAAAAACAGGCGGAAAUAUGGAAAUUCUUAUUUUGUGGGAAUAUGCUAUGAAUAAGCAUUUGACAUUGUAUAAAACGAAAACGAUGGGUCGGCGGACAGAAAGACACGAAAUGCCAGCUCAAGUGUAAUUAAUGUCGACUUGGGCUAUUUCAUCAAUUAUUACAUUUCAUACUGCAUAUUUUUCCAUGUAACAUUGCAUUAUCUCAUCUCAUCUUUCUAUUUUCUAAUGUCAUGUAUAUGUUGAGGCAGCUGAAAAUAUAGGGCACUGCAAUUUUGUGCAGCUAUAGACCAAAGGACUGUAAGUUGCAUCGAUGCGCAUGUGUGAAGUUUUUAUAUCCGUAUUCUGCUACACGCGCGCGCGCACACACACACACACACACACACACACACACACACACACACACACACACACACACACACACGCACAUACACACACGCACGCGCGCGAUCGAAAUCUCAGGGAAAAAUAUAAUUUCUAUUUUGUAAAUUUGAUGUUGCCAAAUAAAUAUUAUCUUACGCCAUCUUAUCUUCACUAUUCCAUUUCCCUUUAACAAUCAUGUCGAGAUGUCAAUGUUGUCCAAGAAAGCUUCUGGCAUAUGUGUUGGCUGAUUUAGUUGUUCUAUAACAAAGAAAAACAAACUUUCCAAUUGUGGCCAUUCCAACGUUUUACUCAGAUAUGGUAUAUUAGGGGAGAUAUUUUCCAAAGUAUUUUUGCUUUUUUAAAAGUAAGAUUUGAUUGAAAUCUGGCUGUCAUUUCUAGCAGUUCGAGCGACCACUUUGCUAAUUUGUUGUCGUUGAACACUGGUCAAAAUGUUUCAGUAUCCCCUUCGUAUAUUUUCAAUCAGAUAUAGUGUUUCGAGAAAAACAUUAUAUCUAUCAUUCCUUCUGUAACUGAAUUUACGGGUAUUUAGAUUCUAUUUCAUCCUUUAAAAUUCGGUAUCGCUGAUUGUAACUGGAGUUUAUUUUUAUGCAUUGGAACAUAAUUUAUUUGUUACACAAAUAAAAUGUUGCUCAUGCAAUACAAUUAAUGAUAAUAGUAAGAUGAAAGAGCGUAGUAUGACAUGUAGGGAAACCCUCUGCUAGCAACUCAGCACGGGUCUAGUUUUUGUUAUUAUUUUCUUUCACUUGUUUCAGUCAUUUGACUGCGGCCAUGCCGGAGCACCUCCUUUAGUCGAAGAAAUCGACCGCAAGAUUUCUUCUUUGUAAACUUAGUACUUAUUCUAUCGGUCUCUUUUGUCGAGCCGCUUGUUACGAGGGCGUAAACACUCCAACGUCGGUUGUCAAGCAGACAUACAAAUACAUACAUACAUAUAUAUAUAUAUAUAUAUAUAUAUAUAUAUAUAUAUAUAUAUAUAUAUAUAUAUAUAUAUAUAUAUAUAUACGGCGGGCUUCUUUCAGCUUCCAUCUAGCAAAUCCACUCACAAGUCUUUGGUCUGCCCGAGGCUAUAGUAGAAGACAUUUGCCCUAGGUGCCACGCAGUGGGACUGAACCCGGAACCAUGUGGUUGGGAUGCAAGCUUCUUCAUUUCAAAAUAUUGGCUAUUACAGCCUUACACAGAGGGGACAGCACAAGGUGGGGACAGCACAAGGUGGGGACAGCACAAGGUGGGGACAGCACAAGGUGGGGACACAAAAAAACAAAACGAAUGAAAGGAUGAAUUAAAUAUAAUGAAAGAUGGAAUGAAGCCGCUCGGCCCCCACCUUCGAGCGACUUCAUUGAACCUGUUAAUACAACCUAUUAAUACAACUUUUUUUAAACACUAGUUUGUAAUACCAUUAUUGGCGACAGCUAAUUACCAUCCCUCCAAAGGAUGUUUACACUAUGCUUGUUUAAAAUGUUAUAAAAACUUACUUGUUCAGGCAUUGAGCUGGUGUCCAAUUUCUUGACCCACCACUCAUAGCCAUGGUUUUCCUCAUAGUCCUUUAAUCUCGACAUAUAUUCUGGGCCUACCACUACACAGCGAAUUUGCUCGGGCACCCCCAAUACUCCUGAUAUAUCCACUUUUAUAACACUGUCCCACGAGUCUAUUUCGGUAUACAGUUUUUCAUUUUCUCCACUGUACCAUAUAACAUGUCUUUUCCAAGGGCAAGGGUGGGGAAAUUUAGGGCUCCUGUGUGCUUGUGUUUGUCGUCAUGUCAGGUGGAGCAUGGAGAGGGUUGGAAUCUCUAAAGAGUGGUUGGGGUAGCGUGGGUGUGGGUGGGAGUCGGACGGAUGUGGGAUGGGGGUCGUCAUUUACAACACGUGUUCUCUUUUUUCGCUCUCUUCUCUUUUUUCCCGCCGUUUCCCAUCCCUUCUUCACCUCCUCUUCUUCGACGCUGGUACUGGUUUUUGUCUGUGGUGCAGCUUCAAUUCCCUUCUUACUCUCGUGCUUCUCUUCAGCCUCCAUGGGUGGUGGAGGACCAGUUUCCUUUUCUUUCUCGUGCUUCUCUCUGGCUUUCACGGGUGUGUGUAUGUGUGUGUGUGUGUGUGUGUGUGUGUGUGUGUGUGUGUGUGUGUGUGUGUGUGUGUGUGUGUUUUAAAAAAGCCCACUCCAGUUUGUAAAUGUUCUGGGAUUUUGCAACUGACCUCCAAAGCAUGUAGACAUGCUGAACUGAGGACCAUACACGACACACAAGCGUCUUGUAACACAUCAGCAGGAAACAUUAGUUCAGACAUAUUUCAUUAUGGCUGAAAACAAUAAAGGAGUAAAACUGAACGAACAUAAUGGAUGAUGCAAAGACAUUCAAGGAAUCUCUCUAUAUAUAAACGGCAAAAUGUCUGUGUGUGUGUGUAUCCUUUAUACAAAUCCACAAUUUUUCAGUUAGAGGGCUCGCACCUUCUAUGGUCAUUCAAAACCGUCCAAGAGUGGUCGUGCACAUCUUUACAUUUCCCCAGUCACCCCGCAAAGCCAUUCAAAAAUCAAUAGAAGUGACUUUUUGUGAAUUUUCUAUCCAAAACCCAAUCAAAAUGCCCGAAACUUAAUACGCCAAUUGAAUGCCAACUAGCUGUAUGUGAUUGGUCGGAGAUUUGGACAGUACUCGCGUGUAUGUGCGCACGCACGCAGCUGUAUAUGCAUGCGCUAGCACUAUGACCCGGCCUUGCCGGGUCAUAGUGCUAGCGCAUGCAUAUACAGCUAGUAUUUAAUAAAUACUGAAAUAAUAGUGCUAGUAUUUAAUAAAUACUGAAAUAAUAGUGCUAGUAUUUAAUAAAUACUGAAAUAAUAGUGCUAGUAUUUAAUAAAUACUGAAAUAAAAAUGUGGCUUUCAGGCUACAUUUAUAGCACCACGGAAUCCUUCCUACCACUUCUCCGACCGUGAUCGUCUCCAUCGUGUUUUCGAUGUCUUCUGGGGCCACCUGUACUACCAUGUCUAGACUCUGCCCUUGCCAGUUCCUGUGGGGUGUUCUGGCGGCCUGUAUGACCACUACUCUCUCCUUCAUGCCUAGCAGUAUGGCAGCUACCAACCAAGCUACAUCCACUUCUGGGGUAUGUCUUCUACCCUAACCUUGGCAGGACGUCUCCCAAGGUAUAUGGGUAGAAGCAUCACUGCAUCAGUUUAUAACGGUGUUGCUGAGUGCAGCCUGGCAGUAGCUACCUCCCGAAACUGCACCUCCACUGUUCAUUUUCUUUACCCAACAGUCAAAGUCGAUGUCUUCCUCAUGAUUCCUUAAUCCCAAUAGAUCCUCCGGGUUUGCCACCGUACAGUAAAUGUCCUCGGGUAACUCCCUCACUCCUGCUACAUCCUCUUUUAUCGCUCUGUCCCAUGUCUCAAGCUCAUUAUAAUGUUCUUCUUUUUGUCUCUUGUACAAUAUAACAAAUUUAUCCAAGGGCCAGAGUGGGGAAAUCCGGGGCUCGUGUGUGCUUGUGUUUAUGUCAGGUAGGGCAUGGAGAAGGUUGGUGUCUAUAGGGAGUGUUUGGGGGUAGAGUGGGUGUAGGAUGGAGGUCGUCAUUUACCACGUGUGUCUUUUUUCUCCUCUUUCUUUUUUCCCGCCGUUUCCCAUCCGUUAUUCACCUCCACUUCUUCGACGCUGGUACUGGUUUUUGUCUGUGGUGCAGUUUCAAUCUCCUUCUCGUGCUUCUCUUCAGCUUCCACGGGUAGUGGGGAACCAAUUACUUUUUCGCUCUUGUGCUUCUCCUUAGCCUUCACAAGUGGUGGAGGACAAUCCGCUCUAACACCGGAAUCCUCCCUUCCACUCUAACUCUAAGUGUCACUUCUCCGACCGUGAUGGUCUCCACCAUGUUUUCAGUGUCUUCUGGGGCCUCUAUUAUGUCUAGGCUCUGCCCUUGCUAGUUCCUGUGUGGUGUUCUUGUGGCCUGCCGGACCACUACCCUCUUCUCCAUGCCUAGCAGUGUGGCAGCCAGCAGCCAAGCUACAUCCACUUCUGGGAGUAUGUCUUCUACCCUGGAAGCACAUCUCCCAAGGUACUUCAUCGGUUUUUAACGGUGUUGUUGAGUGCAGGCUGGCAGUAGCUAUCUCCCGAAACUGCACCUUCACUGUUCCAUACCUUCUUCCCCUUGCAAGGUAGGAAAUCCCUCUUGCCAGACUGGUCUCAGCGCCUUUCCAACUUGGGCUGCUGACACUACUUCAAUUUUCUUCGUUGCCACCGCGUACGUCCUGUAAAUUAUCACUUUUUUUUUAUUAUUUUAAAACUUCUUUGGUGGGGAACACCUUCACAUCGUUCCCUUCCCUUUUAAUCAUUUCCUUGAACCUGUUUAACUCCUUCAGACUCACGUCUUCAGUUUUUUCCUUCGCCGCUUCUGCGUAAUUUUUUUUUUAUCUCCAUAGCCUCGUCAAUUCUUUUCAGACUUUUCACUAACUCUUCCUCAGACGACAUAAAGUCUGAAGAAGAAGGACUCAAACUUUGUAAUUCAUAACACGACGCUCUACCAUUAAACAAGAGGGAAGACGUCGCACACUACCGCUGCAAGACAGCCAAAAACACGAGUUUCACACAAAGACAACCGUUCGAACAAUCAAUAACCAGAAGCAAGCUUCUUUCCACACAGCCACUCUUGCGCCAAGUAAAUAUCCAGGUACAGUGACGUGUCUCCUUCUUCGAUUAUCCUCGAUUGAAUAUGCAGCUGUGAGAAUAGCUAUAAAGAGAGUGUAAUACAACCUCGACUCAAGACACUCCGAAGUGGAAAGACCGGAGAACAUCAUGGUGGCUCGGAUGUCUCAACACUGUGAAAUUGACAAAUAAGUUGACUGUAUUUAAAGGUUGUGUUCAUGGACAGUUCUAGCCGGACUUGUGAGCUAUCACGUGAACAGAGGCCGUUUAUUGGACAAAAUUUCGGUUGCGCACAUGUUCAAAUUUUGACUGAACCGUGGCUUGAGAUUCGUAUGUGGCAAAACGCGUGAUCGAAUCCAGUGUUAUACUUCCUUUUUUAUUUUAUUCAUUUAUUUAUUUUGAGGUGCGUAUGUGAUAGUAGGGAAAUUUGGCUUGAUAUUUCUUGCGUGUCGAACGAUCACAAUGUGGCACCGUCAUUUGCUAUUCAGAUCAUCAGCGUUGAUCUUCAAACAAAAAGAUCGAGAGUUAGUUCAUAAACAAUAAUGUGAUUGGACAUGACUUAGGAAGGCCAAAUAUAUCGCUAAGAAUAAGGUUACAAAGACUUAUCGUGUGGAAGAGCUUUUUGAAAGACAUACAUUUAUGAAAUAAACCGAUAAAGAUCUUUUUAUUUUUAUAUUAUGUUCUCUUAAAUUGGUUUGGAGAAGGGCGCUGUCCUCAUGAUCCUCGCAUGCCAUCAGAAACCAGUGAGUAAGCCAGAUGUAAUGUUAGGCUUAAUGGAAUUGCUGAUCUUACAAGAGAUAGGGAUCAAUAAGGAAACCAACUGGUCAAUGUUGAGUGUAGUGUAUCUCGUACGCAGUAGGCUAGCCUGCUUUGGAAAUGAAAGCACAUUGAAUGCUUAUAAAGGAUUAAAUUUAUUUACUGUAGCUGUACAAUGCUCACACACACACACCAUUUACACACCUCUUCUUAUACAUCUACAUAUACUUUCACUCAUACACACAAACAUAUGUGUAACACACACGCGCGCACACACACACACACACACACACACACACACACACACACACACACACACACACACACACACACACACACACACACACACACACACACACACACACACACACACACACACACACACACACACACACAACAGAUUUUCUCCCCGACAAUGAAAAAUGUCAUGUAUUUUAUAUUAAUUUUAUAAAUGUUGAUUACGUCUUAGAGAGCAAUUACCGCGCUAUGGUCUCGAUCCAGAAUUCAGCCAAAUUCACUCCUCGUAUUCUUCGGCUGACACUUCUUACUCGCAGUUUUUUAAAAAUAUGUUUAUUCUUUUUUUUUAACAGUUCUUGAAAUGUUACAGAAGCAAAACUAAAUACAUAGUUUUCUGCUUCGUGACAUUGUAUUCAUUUUAUUUAUUUUUUAUUAAAAAUAAAUUAAAAUUUUAAAAAAAAAUAUUCUAUCAAUAGAAUUAAAACCUGUUAGCUAAGGUGUAUCGCUGACAAUUUGUCAUUCUUUUCUCAUUGGCUCAGUCCACCUUACCUAUAAACUUCAACGAAUUUCAAUGUCUCGAUAGUACUGAUAGGUUUUUUUUUACAUGGGAAUCCAGGAUUUUUGUGGGGAGUAUUGCCAAAGGUUUCGAAAAAAUACUUUAUAAGGUGGGAAUCACAAUUCGUAACAUUUGGAGGCAAUUUCAUGUAUUUUAACUUUGUUGUAGCAGACCGUAUGUGUAUGAAACAGUAAUGCUGUGAAACUACUGAAAAUAAACAUUGGUCCCAAUUUUUUUUUUUUUUUUGGUGUCGACUCGACUAGAAAGGGUGUUGCCCUAGUUGCCCGGGUAUCACCCCUGCAUCCGUGUUUUAGGUGACUAUGUUUCUCUCCGUUUGGUGGUUUCAAGAAAACAAAUAAAUCUUGACAGUACGCUAAUCUCUCACAGAUAACAUUCCUCAAUGAUAUUAUGCCACUUAUUUAUCCAACAGUCGAGUUUACACAAAGUGAAAUUAAGUCUACAGAACAGCCCAAGCGCAAAAGAUUUGUUGCGAGUCAAACCUUUGCGUUAGUGCUCGACCUUCUUGAGAAAAGCUGGUAAAUUUUUUCAAAUCAGGCUAGCCAUGUAAAACAAACGACGAAUUAUUAGCCAUGUAAAACAGACGACGUGUCCUAGCAUUGCACUUAUAAAUGAAUAUUAAACUAAUCUCCCUCUCUCUUUCUCCCCCCCCCCUCCACACACAAUGUAGAAGUUUCAGUUUGUGCUAAUUGCCUUUCCAAGUAGAAUUCCAGUUCACUUAUGACAGAUUUGUGAUCGAGCCUGUGGUAGUGGAGACCCCCCGGACUAAAUCCUUGCUCACAGCUAUCAGGACAGAGAUGACUAUCCGCAAGUGCGAGCCCCGUGAGUCGGAGUGACUGUUCUAGCGAAUCUCGCUCGCCCUCCUCCGAGGCAACGCUUUUUCUGUUUGUCCAUGAUACGGACCUAGAAGUCUUUUUAGUUUUCAUUGUUGUAUCUCUAAAAAAAAAACAACCUAGUUUACACACUAUCGUCUGACGUGGUUACAAUUAGUAGGCGCAGAAAUAUCCGGUGCUUCGUUAUCUUGUCGGGAUGGUCUUAAGUCGUAAUAGAGGCCAAAAAUCAUAGUAUAUCAGCAGUAGCCGUUAUUAGUAACUAGCAGAAAGACCGCCAUCCCGGGGGGUUUCUAUUGCUCACUUGAUGAUAUUUAUACAUUUGAUUCCCAUUCCUGUAAUUCCUCUAUUGUUACGUCCGAUUUUUAUUUGUAACCUUCAUUCGUCUAAUAGUACUCACUCCUUCAGUGAAUAAAUUUAGAAUAAUAGGAAGCACUAAAAGGUAGCGUUAGAAUUUAAUUAACUUAAUUCAGCUAUGUUAAUCUCUCUUUUAAACAAGCUCAAAGCAGCCCAUCCUCUACAUGUCCAUUAAUGUGCUAAAAAUAGUAGGGAUCACGCGGGUAUCUUUUAAAGUCUAUAGCAUACUAACCAGCCAUACCAACAAAUUUACUGCUGAUAAUUUUGCUUUUCAAAUUACACCGGUAUCUUUGGAAACUUUCAUUUUAUUAAAAAAUAAUCAUUUAACAAAUUCCAAAAGGAAAAUGGUAGAAAAGUCCUUAAAAGUUUUCUUUUUCAACAUAAUAAACGCAGGCGGGGUUGGGUGGUAAAAAGCUUGCGUUCCAGCCACAGGAUUUCGGGUUCAAUCCCACUGCGUGGCACCUUGGGUAAGUGUCUUCUACUGUAACCUCGAGCUGAUCAAACCCUUGUGAGUGGAUUCGGUAGAUAGAAACUGAAAGAAGCCUGCUUUACAUAUGUAUGUAUGUAUGUAUACACACACACAUACACAGGCACACACACACACACACAUAUAUAUAUAUAUAUAUAGUUCAAAUUUACAGAAAACAAAAGCCGAAGAUAGGUGAAGGAAAAACAAGCAAGUGUAAUAGUUAAAAGCUCGGGAAGAAGGGCAAAGUCUUUGACGUUUCGAGCCUACGCUCUUCGUCAGAAAGGGUUGAAAAAAGAAACAAAAAAAACGGAAAGAAAAAAUGUGUAGGCGUUAACGGUUCAACAUGAUGAAGAAAUAUAUAUACACUUUGUGUGUGUGUGUGUGUGUGUGUGUGUGUGUGUGUGUGUGUGUGUGUGUGUGUGUGCAUGUGUGUGUCUUCGCAUUUGUCUACCACAACCAGGCGAUAGAAUAAGUACCAGGCUUCUACAAAAAAAAAAGAAACGAAAAAGUACUGGGAUCGAUAAAUUCGAUUACAUUUCUUCAAGACAGUGCUCCAACAUGGCCGUAGGCCAUGAAACAAGUACAAGAAUAAGAGAAUUGUAAUCUACAUCAUCAAAAUAUUAAAUUUCUGAGAAAACAAAGUCGAGGCGUGUGAGUUAUCUGUAACACCUCUCUCCGCUCCCUUCAAAAUACACUUUUCUCAACAAAUACCUAUAUAAUCGUUAGUUUACACCAUCUAAAACAUAUCUUUAAAAAAUUUUAUGAAAAAAUAUCCCUUUUUCAGAAAGUUAUGAGGAAACAAAGUUGGAUGGGAAAAUACGUUAGACUAGUGGUUUUCAACCAUUUUUUGUCAAUGGACCCUUGGAUUCCUAUUUUACUUAGAGUGGGGGGUAUCCUCAUAGCCAUUCAAUGUCUAAAAAUUCUUUAUUAGAUUUUUAUGAUUAAGUAUUAAGUUUGGCGAAAUACCUUAUUGAUGUGUCUAUAGAAAAGUAGCACAUCGAAGUGUAUAAGAGAGAGUGAGAGAGAGAGAGGAGGAGGAGAGAGAGAAAAAGAGAGAGAUAGAUAGGGGGAGAAAGAGGAGGAGGAAAAAACAAAGAGAAUAGUCUAUUUCCCCGUGUUAAAAACGCUAUCUCGCGUUUUAGGUUUCACAGUUAGGUUUUCUAAUAUUUAAAUUUAUUUCAGUCCUUCUGAUUCACACUGUGUUGUAUAUAAAAUAUACCACCGUGAUCACCGUGACCGACCAGGCUAUCACGUGUUGCUACACAUCGCUGGUCACAAUGCGCUUCGCAUUGUUUUAGCCUUCAAAUGAUGCCACCCCGCUGGCUAAGCGAGCAGGCCAACAGAAGAAGGAGUGAGAGAAGGUUGUGGCGAAAGAGUACGGCAGGGAUGACCACCACCCCCUGCCGGAGCCUCGUGGAGUUUUAGGUAUUUUCGUUCAAUAAACACUCACAAUUAAUGUCGAACCGACAAAAGCACAAAUAUGUAAAUGAAGCUGACAGCCUUUGUAGGUGUAGAUAAAUGUAAAUACUGUUGGUUGAAGAAGGUAAAAGAAUACGUGUGUGAGGAGCGGUCAACAACAAGCGGUGAAAUGGCUCGUCAGGAAAGGAGAUGGAAUUGUCACUUCCGGAGUGUAAGAGCUAAGCAACAACACCACCACCACCAACACCACAACAGCACCAACUACAAUAAAACAAAAUUCAUUCGUUCAACUCCAUGACGAUCUAUUGACAGGAUCGUUAGAACAUAGGACAAAAUGAAACACUUUGUGAUAUUUGUUCAAGCUCUUUGCACUGAAUCUGAAUCCUGCUGAGGCCAGCUUUGCAUUUCAUAUUCUGGGGACAAUAAAUAAAGUACAACCUUUCUAGAAUGAUCUAAUAAAUGUCGUAGUAUGUGUUCUGGUUCUUUGUGUCCUCAGUUCUUCGAGAGUAGACUGGGUCCCUCGAUAGGUUUGACACCACUACCUGGUCCUUGGGCACCUUUAGCAAAGUUCACGCAGCUCUCUCAGUAUUUGGACCAGGAAAUUUGAAGUCAACUUCCUCCCGUCCUCUCACCAACCUGGGAGACACUGAACAAAAGUUUCAGGGGCGUUACCUAAAAAGUAAAUCAAAAUUACAGAGGUAUGUCAUUAUAAUAAGGUUAUACUUUUUAUGGUAGCCAUAUGUUUCUCCAAAUCUCUCACUAUCUUAUUUCUCAUUCUCUCUAUCCUUGUCCCUGUCUCUAUCUUCUUUACUCUCUCUUCCUCACUAUCUCUCUCCUCUCCCUCACUAUCUCUAUCCUCUCCCCCACCUAUCCCUCUCUCCUCCCUUUCUUUAUCUAUUUUCUUUCCUCUUUCUGACGAAGGGACCUGCUCGAAACGUCACCCCCACUUCCUUUUUCCAUCUUAAAAUUUCUCCGGGCGUCAAUCUAAUUUCUUCACUGUGUACGUCCCUUUGAUUUUUGUCGUUUUUUCUGCUUUUGUUUUUUUUAUUUUUAAUUUGCCUAUACAGCAAUACCUCACUUUAUGAGGACUUGCUUUACGAGAUCCCGAGUUUUAUUUUACAAUAAAUAAAGAUUACAGUCUUUUUGUGUGUGUGUGUGUGUGGCAACGUAGCAACAUAUAGCAAACUGGUUCUAAUGCGUCUAUACAGCUGAAUAUCGCGAUGGAAUAAUUCGGUCUACAAAUGAUGGUGUGUGCGAGUCUAGUGCGAGUGAAAGUGAUUCAGAAAACUAUUAUAAUAUUUUUUAUCAUAAAAUAUCUUGACAUUAUUUUUACUUUACAUAAAAUAUUCUUUACAUCCCACUGUUGUUUUAUUGCCAUUUAUUUACGGAUAUUACAAAUGUUAUAGGUAAAAUAUUUUUCUGGGCACGUAUUACGAUUUAUAACAUUGCUACUAUGGGUAAUUAUUUCUAUGCUUUACGGGUUCUUGCUGUAUGUACGGUCUCCGGGAACAAAUUAACUUGUAUAUCUAAGCAUUACUGUAUAUAUAACUAGCAGUAUCGCCCGGCGUUGCUCGGGUUUGUAAGGGAAAUAACUAUAUAAACAUUUUUAGAGAGUUACUUCCCUUAUAGAUGCCAAUUCGGGCUUUCUUAGCUAUUUCUGUUUUGGUGUCUUCAAGCCAUGAAGUCGUUGUUCUAAAAGAACGCUGGUCUCCUUGACAACGCUUUACGACGUUGAUUUCCUUACACUCCCUUCCCCACAGCUUCACGAGGGAGGGAAGAAGGGGGAGAAGCAAACAGGUGCAAGUGUGACCAUGGACGCCAACUCCGCCGCCAUCGACACACGAAAAAAUAUGCAUUAAAAUGGAAUAAAAAAUGAUGUUAAAUUAUUUUUAAAAUCGUAGACUCAUCGUAGACGCGCGCUAAUACUCAGACGGGCUCGAUAUGAAUCACGACUAUAAGAUAUCCGAAUUUGGUUAAACUGCACCGCAAAAUGUGGGAGUAGUUAGGAAUCUAAAUCGAAGGGGACAGACACUCACACAACUACAGUUUUAUAUAUAUAGAUAUAUCAUCUUUACUUUGCUAUCUCCCCUACUUCUUCGCUCUCCUGUGUGACCUUUCUGUCCGGCAGUCGCCAUGAUAGAUCGGUAGCAACUACACACAUUUUUUUUGUUUCCUUGCUUUUUCUGUGUCCCUUUCUGUAGAAGAGCGUAGGCUCGAAACGUAAAAGACUUUUUCUAUUCCUGAGCGUUAUACUAAUACAUCUGUUUGUUUUGUACACCACCUGUCUUCGCCUUUUGCUUUUUUAGUCAACUCUCCCUACAUAUAUAUAUAUAUAUAUAUAUAUAUGUGUGUGUGUGUGUGUGUGUGUGUGUGUGUGUGUGUGUGUGUGUGUGUGCGUGCGCGUGUGUGUGCGUGUGUGUGUGCGUGUGUGUGCGUGUGUUUGUGUGUGUGUGUGUAUAUGUAUAUGUAUGUGUAUAUAUAUAUGUAUAUAUAUAUGUAUGUGCAUAUAAUAUGUGUGUAUGUAUGUAUGUAUGUAUGCAUGUAUGUAUGUAUACAUGCAUGUAUAUUGGCAUGUUGAACAGUCACAUUAAUCCCUAUACAUUUUUCUCUCUGUCCGUUUCCCCCCCCCCCCUGUUCUCUAUUCAUUUUUUCCCCCUCAACUAUUGAAGAGCGUAGCUUCGAAACGUCAAAGACUUUUCCAUUCUUCCCUUACCUGUCUUCGUCUUUAGUUUUCUGUAAAUUUUAGCUAUAUGUGUGUGUGCGUGUGUGUGUGUGUGUGUGUUUUACCGUUAAAGUAUGUAAUUCAGUUAUUUCAUGGAAUAACUACGUAUCACAUGAAUUUCCUCGCUGAAUCAGUGAAGGUGUAUAAAAUUAUUACAUUCUACAAUUUUAUAGAAUAAUUAGUUUUUUUUAUAAAUUAACUGAUGAUAAAUAGUUAAGGUACUUUACAAAAUGCCUUUUUUUUUCAAUAAAAAAUAUUACAAAAACUUUAUGCAAAGCCUUCAUUUUAUUUUUUUUAAAUGCGUGCUUGCAAUAAACAUUUAUGUUAAAUAAAAACGUUUUUCUCUAUUGUAGGCACAAGGCCCAAAAUUUUUGGGGAGGAGGCCAGUCGAUUAGAUCGACCCCAGUACGCAACUGAAUUUGAACUCAAAACGUAACGACAGACGAAAUACUUAUUUCUUUACUACCCACAAGAGGCUAAACACAGAGAAGACAAACAAGGACAGACACACGGAUUAAGUUGAUUAUAUCGACCCCAGUGCGUAACUGGUACUUAUUUAAUUGACCCCGAAAGGAUGAAAGUCAAAGUCGACCUCGGCGGAAUUUGGACUCAGAACGUAACGGCAGACGAAAUACCUAUUUCUUUACUACCCACAAGGGGCUAAACACAGAGAGGACAAACAAGGACAGACACACGGAUUAAAUGGAUUAUAUCGACCCAGUGCGUAACUGGUACUUAUUUAAUCGACCCCGAAAGGAUGAAAGGCAAAGUCGACCUCGGCGGAAUUUGGACUCAGAACGAAAUACCUAUUUGGACUCAGACGAAAUACCUAUUUCUUUACUACCCACAAGGGGCUAAACACAGAAAGGACAAACAAGGACAGACACACGGAUUAAGUCGAUUAUAUCGACAUCAGUGCGUAACUGGUACUUAUUUAAUCGACCUCGAAAGGAUGAAAGGCAAAGUCGACCUCGGCGGAAUUAGGACCCAGAACGUAGCGACAGACGAAAUACUGCUAAGCAUUUCGCCCGGCGUGCUAACACUUCUGCCAGCUUGCCGCCUUCUUAAAUAAAAAAAAAUAUUACAAAAACUUUAUCCAAAACAUUCAUUUUAAUUUUAAUUAUUUAUUAGAACAAACAUUACUGUGAUGGCACUUAGAAUUACAUUGCAUAUUAUUUUUGGAACAGGCACACUUUUUAGUAUCAUAUUGUGUUUUGUACAAAGCUUUUUUAAAUCCUUUCUAGUGCUGGUACUUUGAUCAGUAGCAACAGACCAAAGUGAAUGAGAUUUGUCUGACAUUAAUUUCAUUUUCUUAGCUUGAGUUUCCAGACAUUCUUUAGCUAUGUGUCUUUCUUUCUCGAUAUUUAUUUCAUUUAAACAUAACCUGCAGACCUUCCGUACAAUUUUGUUUUCUGUGUACCAGACUUCUGAGCAUGACACAUGGAUAGGCUGCUCACAUUUCCUGCAAAAUAGGUUGUCUUUGCAAUUUUUUGAACACACAACACACACUUUCACAGUCUGAUUCGGAGAUGUUUCUUCGACGGAAACAGCAUCAUCAUGUUCGGAGGAUGCAGUAAUAGCAAUCAAGGCAUUUUCAAAUUGUUGUUCAUCCUCCACUAAUUCAAACACUUCCCUCGCAAUAGGAGUUGUGGACAGUCCAACUCUAGGAGCACAGCCAAAUAUAGCCUCAUAAGGCAUUCUCUUUAUAGCAUAAUGAAGCGCUUUGUUUUUCAUGAAUUUAAUAAAUUUAAGCCUGUGACUCCAUGACGUAGACUGGUUGUCUUGUAUUCAAGUUGUUAACAUAUUUUCGAUGUCUUGGUUGGCCCUCUCACCGCUACCUUGACUCUGACUAUGCCUUGGCUUACUAUGUACGAUCUUAAGUUAUUUUCAAGUCGUUUAUGAGUUUAUUACAAAAUUCCCUGCCGUUGUCGGACUGCAGAAUACAUGGAGCACUGAGCAAUAAAAAUAUAUCGAGCAACUAUGUGGUGACUUCUUCUGCCCUCUUUGUUUGAAGACGUCUUAAAACUACAAACUUUGUUAAGUGGUCUUGUUACGCUAAAAUAAAUUCAUAAUUUCCAUCAGGUUGAGACUGAAAAUCUAUAAGGUCUACUUGACAUCUUGAAUUGAGAUGCUAAUAUACCAUGCCUUUCUUUCCCUUAUUUCUUUUUUCUUGGCAAGGUUCACAAACACUUAAAAACAACUUGAUUUCAUUCUGAGUAAUGUUUUUAUAUCGACGAUUGAGUUCUUUUAUCAUACGGUCUCUACUACCAUGUCCAAUAGAUAUAUGCGUUUCGUAUAAAAUAUCGAACAGUGCAUCGCUUGAACAAUAAAAGACGACAUCAGGUUUUUGCAUCUGUCACCGACACUAUUAAUUUUUCUACUCCUUGAACUUCAUGAACAUCAUAACGCUUAAUUAACCAACAGGCAUGUAGUACUUUUUAAAUGGUAUUUUAGCAUUCUUUAUUCUGCUAACAAACUUAACUACUUUUUACGAGUAAGCAUAGCACUAUUUUUCUUUUGUCUC